ensembl:miRNA xtr-mir-363 xtr-mir-363
UUUUGUUGUUCGCGGGUGGAUCACGAUGCAAUUUUAUUUAGUUUGGUAGGAGAAAAAUUGCACGGUAUCCAUCUGUAAACCGCAGAA